ensembl:lncRNA
GUGGAGGUUGUAGUGAUGUUGUAUCAUGUCUGUGUUGUGGAGGUUGUAGUGAUGUUGUAUCAUGUAUGUGUUGUGGAGGUUGUAGUGAUGUUGUAUCAUGUCUGUGUUGUGGAGGUUGUAGUGAUGUUGUAUCAUGUCUGUGUUGUGGAGGUUGUAGUGAGGUUGUGAUGUUGUAUCAUGUCUGUUGUGGAGGUUGUAGUGAGGUUGUGAUGUUGUAUCAUGUCUGUUGUGAAGGUUGUAAUGAUGUUGUAUCAUGUCUGUGUUGUGGAGGUUGUAGUGAUGUUGUGGAGGUUGUAGUGAUGUUGUAUCAUGUCUGUUGUGGAGGUUGUAGUGAGGUUGUAGUGAUGUUGUAUCAUGUCUGUGUUGUGGAGGUUGUAGUGAUGUUGUAUCAUGUCUGUGUUGUGGAGGUUGUAGUGAUGUUGAAGUGAUGUUGUAUCAUGUCUGUGUUGUGGAGGUUGUAGUGAUGUUGUAUCAUGUCUGUGUUGUGGAGGUUGUAGUGAUGUUGUAUCAUGUCUGUGUUGUGGAGGUUGUAGUGAUGUUGUAUCAUGUCUGUGUUAUUUAG